GCUAGCAAUAACGUCACAAAUAAGGAUUUUUAAGUUUACUAACGAUUUAUAUCUUAUAUGUUGUAUAUUCUCUUCAUAAUAUUAAUAAUGAUACGUUUAGAAAUAGCUUACCGAAGAUUAAUUCCUUAAUCAAAAUUCAAAACUUGAGGAUACUGUUACAAAAAUUGGCUAAGAGUAACUUAUGUAGUUUACAUUGGCAACACUGAACACUGAACACAAAAAACUGGCGUCAGGCUGUCACUGUCAGUGGGAGUUACGAGGUAGGGUUGUUCGUUUUCGUUUUAUUUUGUUGUUUGAGGUUAUCUGUUUGAUUGAUCUUGAAAGUUUUGCACAAAUAUUUCUGUUACAAAGUUAUUUUUUAUUUAAUUACACUCUUAGACUAUUGAUAUGGCAAAGGACGCAUUCACUCGAUUAGAAAGAUUAUCUUGUGAAAUUAAAAAUUCGAACGAUGAUAAAAAUGAAGAAAGAAUUUGCAUGAUGAACUUUACAGUAGAAGACGGUUCAACUGCAGAAGAGAUAAAAUUACUUAUUAGUAGGCCGUCGCUAGAUGUAUUACUAGAGGGACUGCAUAAAAUUCAAAACCAACUAACCAAUGUAGCAGCAAAGACUAAAACAUGAUUUUCUUUAUGUGAGUUAUGAAAAUAAAAAUUUAAUAAAUAUACAAAGCUGUGAUUCAAUA